UACGAAGGGGGCUAGCGUUGUUCGGAAUUACUGGGCGUAAAGCGCACGUAGGCGGGUAUUUAAGUCAGGGGUGAAAUCCCAGAGCUCAACUCUGGAACUGCCUUUGAUACUGGGUACCUAGAGUAUGGAAGAGGUAAGUGGAAUUCCGAGUGUAGAGGUGAAAUUCGUAGAUAUUCGGAGGAACACCAGUGGCGAAGGCGGCUUACUGGUCCAUACUGACGCUGAGGUGCGAAAGCGUGGGGAGCAAACAGG
rnacentral:rRNA from 1 species